rnacentral:rRNA from 1 species
GACGAACGCUGGCGGCGUGCCUAAUACAUGCAAGUCGAGCGGAACUGGGGGAGCUUGCUCCUUCCAGUUUAGCGGCGGACGGGUGAGUAACACGUGGGCAACCUGCCCUGCAGAUCGGGAUAACUCCGGGAAACCGGUGCUAAUACCGAAUAGUUUGGCGCCUCUCCUGAGGCGCCACGGACAGACGGUUUCGGCUGUCACUGCAGGAGGGGCCCACGGCGCAUUAGCUAGUUGGGGGGUAACGGCCCACCAAGGCGACGAUGCGUAGCCGACCUGAGAGGGUGACCGGCCACACUGGGACUGAGACACGGCCCAGACUCCUACGGGAGGCAGCAGUAGGGAAUCUUCCGCAAUGGACGGAAGUCUGACGGAGCAACGCCGCGUGAGUGACGAAGGUUUUCGGAUCGUAAAACUCUGUUGUGAGGGAAGAACACGUACCAACUAACUAUUGGUACCUUGACGGUACCUCACCAGAAAGCCACGGCUAACUACGUGCCAGCAGCCGCGGUAA